rnacentral:rRNA from 1 species
GGGUUGUGAGGUUAAGCGACUAAGCGUACACGGUGGAUGCCCUGGCAGUCAGAGGCGAUGAAGGACGUGCUAAUCUGCGAUAAGCGCCGGUAAGGUGAUAUGAACCGUUAUAACCGGCGAUUUCCGAAUGGGGAAACCCAGUGUGACUCGUCACACUAUCAUUAACUGAAUCCAUAGGUUAAUGAGGCGAACCGGGGGAACUGAAACAUCUAAGUACCCCGAGGAAAAGAAAUCAACCGAGAUUCCCCCAGUAGCGGCGAGCGAACGGGGAGGAGCCCAGAGCCUGAAUCAGCAUGUGUGUUAGUGGAAGCGUCUGGAAAGGCGCGCGAUACAGGGUGACAGCCCCGUACACAAAAGCGCAUGUGCUGUGAGCUCGAUGAGUAGGGCGGGACACGUGGUAUCCUGUCUGAAUAUGGGGGGACCAUCCUCCAAGGCUAAAUACUCCUGACUGACCGAUAGUGAACCAGUACCGUGAGGGAAAGGCGAAAAGAACCCCGGCGAGGGGAGUGAAAAAGAACCUGAAACCGUGUACGUACAAGCAGUGGGAGCCCCACCACUAAGCCAGUGGUGAACUCCACAUACGCAUCCUUUGCUGAGGAUACGGUUAACGGAGCGAAAGCGACGUUCAACCUCAAAAGAAGCAGAGGGGGCUUAGUGGUGGGGUGACUGCGUACCUUUUGUAUAAUGGGUCAGCGACUUAUAUUCUGUAGCAAGGUUAACCGAAUAGGGGAGCCGGAGGGAAACCGAGUCUUAAC